rnacentral:rRNA from 1 species
GACGAACGCUGGCGGCGUGCCUAAUACAUGCAAGUAGAACGCUGAAGGAGGAGCUUGCUUCUCUGGAUGAGUUGCGAACGGGUGAGUAACGCGUAGGUAACCUGCCUGUAGCGGGGGAUAACUAUUUGAAACGAUAGCUAAUACCGCAUAAUAGUAGAUGUUGCAUGACAUUUGCUUAAAAGGUGCAAUUGCAUCACUACCAGAUGGACCUGCGUUGUAUUAGCUAGUUGGUGGGGUAACGGCUCACCAAGGCGACGAUACAUAGCCGACCUGAGAGGGUGAUCGGCCACACUGGGACUGAGACACGGCCCAGACUCCUACGGGAGGCAGCAGUAGGGAAUCUUCGGCAAUGGACGGAAGUCUGACCGAGCAACGCCGCGUGAGUGAAGAAGGUUUUCGGAUCGUAAAGCUCUGUUGUAAGAGAAGAACGAGUGUGAGAGUGGAAAGUUCACACUGUGACGGUAUCUUACCAGAAAGGGACGGCUAACUACGUG